rnacentral:rRNA from 1 species
CCUACGGGUGGCAGCAGUGGGGAAUAUUGGUCAAUGGAGGAACCUCUGACCCAGCAACGCCGCGUGAAUGAUGAAGGUCUUCGGAUUGGAAAGUUCUUUUCUAAGGGAAGAAGAACGUGACGGUACCUUAGGAAUAAGCCUCGGCUAACUACGUGCCAGCAGCCGCGGUAAUACGUAGGAGGCAAUCGUUAUCCGGAAUGACUGGGCGUAAAGGUGGCGUAGGUGGUGUGAUAGUUGGUAGCGUAACUCCGAGGCUCAACCUCGGCACUACUAACAAAACUGUCGGAAUUGAGUGCAGGAGGAGCAACUGGAAUUCGUAGUGUAGCGGUGGAAUGCGUAGAUAUUAGGAGGAACACCAGUGGCGAAGGCGAGUUGCUGGACUGUAACUGACACUGAGGCACGAAAGCGUGGGGAGCAAACAGGAUUAGAUACCCCAGUAGUC